GAUGAACGCUGGCGGCGUGCCUAACACAUGCAAGUCGAGCGAAGCACAUAAAAUGGAAUCUUCGGAUGAAGCUUUAUGUGACUGAGCGGCGGACGGGUGAGUAACGCGUGGGCAACCUGCCUUACACAGGGGGAUAACAGUUAGAAAUGACUGCUAAUACCGCAUAAGACCACAGGACCGCAUGGUCCGGUGGUAAAAACUCCGGUGGUGUAAGAUGGGCCCGCGUCUGAUUAGGUAGUUGGCGGGGUAACGGCCCACCAAGCCGACGAUCAGUAGCCGACCUGAGAGGGUGACCGGCCACAUUGGGACUGAGACACGGCCCAG
rnacentral:rRNA from 1 species